rnacentral:rRNA from 1 species
CCUACGGGAGGCUGCAGUGAGGAAUAUUGGUCAAUGGCCGGAAGGCUGAACCAGCCAAGUCGCGUGAGGGAAUAAGGCCCUAUGGGUCGUAAACCUCUUUUGUCAGGGAGCAAAGGCGUCCACGUGUGGACGAUAGGAGAAUAACUGAAGAAAAAGCAUCGGCUAAAUCCGUGCCAGCAGCCGCGGUAAUACGGAGUAUGCGAGCGUUAUCCGGAUUUAUUGGGUUUAAAGGGUGCAGAGGCGGAGUGUCAAUUUAGCGGUAAAAGUUAGGGGCUCAACCCCGUCGUGCCGUUGAAACUGACGCCCUUUAGUGAUUGAGAAGUAAGCGGAAUGCGUGGUGUAGCGGUG